GACGAACGCUGGCGGCGUGCUUAACACAUGCAAGUCGAACGGUAAGGCCCUUCGGGGUACACGAGUGGCGAACGGGUGAGUAACACGUGGGUGAUCCGCCCUGCACUUCGGGAUAAGCCUGGGAAACUGGGUCUAAUACCGGAUAGGACUACGGACUGCAUGGUCUGGGGUGGAAAGCUUUUGCGGUGUGGGAUGGGCCCGCGGCCGAUCAGCUUGUUGGUGGGGUGAUGGCCUACCAAGGCGACGACGGGUAGCCGGCCUGAGAGGGUGACCGGCCACACUGGGACUGAGAUACGGCCCAGACUCCUACGGGAGGCAGCAGUGGGGAAUAUUGCACAAUGGGCGCAAGCCUGAUGCAGCGACGCCGCGUGAGGGAUGACGGCCUUCGGGUUGUAAACCUCUUUCAGCAUCGACGAAGCGAAAGUGACGGUAGGUGCAGAAGAAGGACCGGCCAACUACGUGCCAGCCGCCGCCGUAA
rnacentral:rRNA from 1 species